GACGAACGCUGGCGGCGCGCCUAACACAUGCAAGUCGAACGAGUGGAUCCCCUUCGGGGGAGAAGCUAGUGGCGGACGGGUGAGUAACACGUGAGGAACCUGCCUCUCAGAGUGGGAUACCGUUUGGAAACGAACGUUAAUACCGCAUAACGUAUCAAGAUCGCAUGGUUUUGAUACCAAAGAUUUAUCGCUGAGAGAUGGCCUCGCGUCUGAUUAGAUAGUUGGUGAGGUAACGGCCCACCAAGUCGACGAUCAGUAGCUGGACUGAGAGGUUGAUCGGCCACAUUGGGACUGAGACACGGCCCAG
rnacentral:rRNA from 1 species